UACGGGGGGGGGCAAGCGUUGUUCGGAAUUAUUGGGCGUAAAGGGCUCGUAGGCGGUUUGUCGCGUCGGGAGUGAAAACCUCGGGCUUAACUCGGGGCUUGCUUUCGAUACGGGCAGACUGGAGGUAUGCAGGGGAGAACGGAAUUCCUGGUGUAGCGGUGAAAUGCGCAGAUAUCAGGAGGAACACCGGUGGCGAAGGCGGGACUCUGGGCCGAUACUGACGCUGAGGAGCGAAAGCGUGGGGAGCAAACAGG
rnacentral:rRNA from 1 species